rnacentral:rRNA from 1 species
GAUGAACGCUGGCGGCGUGCCUAAUACAUGCAAGUCGAGCGAACAGACGAGGAGCUUGCUCCUCUGACGUUAGCGGCGGACGGGUGAGUAACACGUGGAUAACCUACCUAUAAGACUGGGAUAACUUCGGGAAACCGGAGCUAAUACCGGAUAAUAUAUUGAACCGCAUGGUUCAAUAGUGAAAGACGGUUUUGCUGUCACUUAUAGAUGGAUCCGCGCCGCAUUAGCUAGUUGGUAAGGUAACGGCUUACCAAGGCAACGAUGCGUAGCCGACCUGAGAGGGUGAUCGCACACCCUGGAACUGAGACACGGUCCAGACUCCUACGGGAGGCAGCAGUAGGGAAUCUUCCGCAAUGGGCGAAAGCCUGACGGAGCAACGCCGCGUGAGUGAUGAAGGUCUUCGGAUCGUAAAACUCUGUUAUUAGGGAAGAACAAAUGUGUAAGUAACUAUGCACGUCUUGACGGUACCUAAUCAGAAAGCCACGGCUAACUACGUG